GACGAACGCUGGCGGCGUGCUUAACACAUGCAAGUCGAACGGACAGGCCCUGCUUUUGUGGGGUGCUCGAGUGGCGCACGGGUGAGUAACACGUGAGUAAACUGCCCCUGACUUUGGGAUAACUUCAGGAAACUGGGGCUAAUACAGGAUAGGAGCUCCUGCUGCAUGGUGGGGGUUGGAAAGAUUCGGCGGUUGGGGAUGGAAUCGCGGCUUAUCCGCUUGUUGGUGGGGUAGUGGCUUACCAAGGCUGUGACGGGUAGCCGGCCUGAGAGGGUGACCGGCCACAAGAGUACUGAGAGACGGCCCAGACGCCUACGGGACGCAGCAGUGGGGAAUAUUGCACAGUGGGCGGAAGCCUGAUGCAGCAACGCCGCGUGCGGGAUGACGUCCUUCGGGUUGUAAACCGCUGUCGCCGGUGACGAAGCGGGAUUGACGGUAAUGGGUAAAGAAGCACCGGCUAACUACGUG
rnacentral:rRNA from 1 species